rnacentral:rRNA from 1 species
UUACGGGGCCGCACAAGCGGUGGAGCAUGUGGUUUAAUUCGAUGCAACGCGAAGAACUUACCUAGGCUUGACAUCCCUGGAAUUUGUGGAAACACAAAAGUGCCUUUCGGGGAACCAGGAGACGGGUGCUGCAUGGCUGUCGUCAGCUCGUGCCGUGAGAUGUUGGGUUAAGUCCCGCAACGAGCGCAACCCUUAUCUUUAAUUGCCAGCAUUCAGUUGGGCACUUUAAAGAGACUGCCGGUGUUAAACCGGAGGAAGGUGGGAUGACGUCAAGUCCUCAUGGCCUUUAUGACCAGGGCUACACACGUACUACAAUGGCAGGUACAAAGGGCAGCCAACUCGCGAGAGCGCGCCAAUCUCAAAAAGCCAUCCUCAGUUCGGAUUGGAGUCUGCAACUCGACUCCAUGAAGUUGGAAUCGCUAGUAAUCGCGGAUCAGCAUGCCGCGGUGAAUACGUUCCCGGGCCUU